GUUAAAACACCGGUUUCGGUACGAUCACCUAAGUUAAGCAACGUUGAGCCUUGUUAGUACCUAGGUGGGUGAUCGCUUGGGAGUACCAGAUGUUGUGA